GUCUUGUAGCUUGCGACAUGGAUUGACUGACCAAGUCAGAACAGAACAUUGUUAAGCAUACUCAAGUUGAAUCCUGCGAGAAAUCAAAUCAUACAGUGCUACGUACGGCCUAACUACUGUUGUUUUUUCAACAAAAAUACCAAGUACUCACACCAAUCCAUAAUAAAUGUCGGUAUUUAAGUACAAAGUUGUUUAGGGAGCGCUGACAUCUGUGCAUGUGUACCUUGCAAUCUUCUUUUGUUGCGUUCUAUAGAACGGACGGACGUAAUGACAGGAUGGACCUAUUGCUAGCAACGUUGCCGUCGCGGUCGUUGCCGUCGUUGUGGAUUGGCUGAAAUCAUUCAUUAAGGCCUAAUUAACUUGCCGCUCCUUGUCGCGGUCCACCGGUCCGCGUCCAUGUUGUGCAUAGCCACUAGCCGUUUGGCGAAAUUAGGGAGAGAGGAAAACGGCUAGUGUUUUUGGUUUGGUUUGUUUGACUUGAGGACUCUGCUAGCGCUUGUUUUUUCUUUUUCUUUUUUUUUGAGCGAACGCUAGCGCUCGGCCGUCUGCCACCAGUGAUGGGCCUUCCUUCACAAGGACGGCAAGUGAUUACGGGCUGAGUGCGCAUUGGGCCUUGUUGGGGCUUGGGCCCAGGCGUGUGUUGGCCCAUUUAUGUGUGCCCAGGAGUAUGACUAAAAAAAAGUGUUUAGUUUUGCUAAAGCUAGACAUCAGAAUCCGAUGCCACCAAUCUAGAUUCGAGAGGGAGAAAAAAUUUCGCCG
rnacentral:lncRNA from 1 species